rnacentral:rRNA from 1 species
AACGAACGCUGGCGGCAGGCUUAACACAUGCAAGUCGAGCGCCCCGCAAGGGGAGCGGCAGACGGGUGAGUAACGCGUGGGAAUCUACCGUGCCCUACGGAAUAGCUCCGGGAAACUGGAAUUAAUACCGUAUACGCCCUACGGGGGAAAGAUUUAUCGGGGUAUGAUGAGCCCGCGUUGGAUUAGCUAGUUGGUGGGGUAAAGGCCUACCAAGGCGACGAUCCAUAGCUGGUCUGAGAGGAUGAUCAGCCACAUUGGGACUGAGACACGGCCCAAACUCCUACGGGAGGCAGCAGUGGGGAAUAUUGGACAAUGGGCGCAAGCCUGAUCCAGCCAUGCCGCGCGAGUGAUGAAGGUCUUAGGAUUGUAAAGCUCUUUCACCGGUGAAGAUAAUGACGGUAACCGGAGAAGAAGCCCCGGCUAACUUCGUGCCAGCAGCCGCAGUAA